AUUGAACGCUGGCGGCAUGCCUAACACAUGCAAGUCGAACGAGUGGCGGACGGGUGAGUAAUGUCUGGGAAACUGCCCGAUGGAGGGGGAUAACUACUGGAAACGGUAGCUAAUACCGCAUACCAUCGGAUGUGCCCAGAUGGGAUUAGCUAUUAGGGGGGGUAACGGCUCACCUAGGCGACGAUCCCUAUCUGGUCUGGGAGGAUGACCAGCCACACUGGAACUGAGACACGGUACAGACUCCGAAGGGAGGAAGAAGGGGGGAAUAUUGCACAAUGGGCGCAAGACUGAUGAAGCCAUGCCGCGUGUAUGAAGAAGGCCUUCGGGUUGGAAAGUACUUUCAGCGAGGAGGCGUUAAUCGAAGAAGAAGCACCGGCUAACGCCGUGCCAGCCGCGGUAAUAC
rnacentral:rRNA from 1 species